AUUUACUGCACCACAAUAUUUCCCUACCUUUCUGACUUGUGUCCCCUUCAAACAAAAGUGUCCACUAAUGAGUCUUUGUCAAAGGAAACAUAACAUAACAUAUCGUUUUAAUUACAUGGGAUUUUCUUUUUCCUGUGUUAACUUUCAAAUAAUUUAAUGUUGAGCAUUAUCCAUGUUAUCCAACUUCUGCCUAUAUAAUGCAAGCCACUUCGCAUGCAGAUGGAAUGUUUUUUAUGCUCUGAUAUAUUUUGAGGAUUUUAGUUAUCUGUGGUCUAUUUGACCAUGGUCACACCUCUUAUGAAAUCAUAUGAUCCAAUAAUAUGUCAUAAUGUGAGUGAUGUUAAAAAACGUUUGUCAUGGAAUUCCUUUGUAUGAGGUGAAUGUGGGCGUUAUGUGGGUGUACCUAAAAUACAAAUUUAAGCCGGCCUACCAAAGCAAAGUUGCAUGUUGCUGUUUUUCUUUUGUAUGGUUUAUCACGGACCACUGAGGAUAAGAGAUGCCAGUUACUACUGCAACUAUGGGUUGUAAACUCAAUAGGUCUCUACUGCACUAUGCAAUCCUCUUGAUCCUCCUGGAAGCUCAGUUGAGUCCUGUGUUUUCUGCUCCGAUUUGUCUAUCUAAUAUCUCCUGUGAUCAUUUGAAGAGAACCAGUGACCUUGCCAAGGUAUUCGAAUUGGAAGCAACUGAGCUACUGAAUUUAUCUAUAAAAAAUUAUGGAAAAAGGAAUGAGACAAUACGACCUGAAGUUCCUGACACCCAGAUAUCUGGUAAAAGCACUUGUGAGAAGCUGCAGAACAUCUAUAUCAAGAAUGAGCUUUUUAAGUUACACAUUUUACAAGCCAAAAAAUAUCACCGAAUACUUUUGAGGCACCCAGGUGACAUUGUUAGUAAAACAGAGCGUGUUAAACAAACACUAGAAAAUUUAAACAUUAUGAUAAAGACUAUGCUCAAACCAUUCAAUUUCACUCCCCCAACCCCACCCCGAGAGUUACAGGAUCACCACAACCAAAAAAUUUAUGUAUGGAGUGUUGCGGUCAGACUGACGGAAUGGUCCGAACAAGUGCUGACGGUAGUUAAUCAGACACACUGUCACUAAAAACAGAUAAGAUUGAGAAACUAUCUCUGUUAUCUUGGAUCCACCACCUCUUUCCUAUUCCUGUCAUGGUUAAGGUUUCCUUUUUAACCCUUGAUGAUGUUUUGACAGGGAAUUCAAAGUUGUAUGUUUCAGAAUGGUCCCUUUGACUAUAUAUGAAUUAUUUACUGGUACCUUGUUUAUAUGUAUCUAUUUCUUUGAAUGUGAGUCUGAUGUAUGUUAAAUUUGCAAAAUUAUUUAUAUUUGAGAAUAUUUAUUUAUUUUGUUAAGGUUAAUGAAAACUAUCAUUGUUAUUAUUAUUAUUAUUAUACCAGCCACUGUUCCCAGUGUUAACAAUAUCUUAAUAGGUUUUAUUAUUUAAUUGUUCCAGUGUUUCAGAAAGUUUCAUUCAUUAAUUUGUCAUUUAUUUAUGACUUAAUAUUACUCGAGUGUGGAUAUGUGUUGUGCUGGUGUGUGUGUAUUUAUUAUCACAUCCUGUUUAAGGUAAUCUUCUGAUCAGUGAUGAGUAAAACCUUUGUGCUCUUGAAACUGAGGAACUUGUCAAAUUGUGUAAAGUUUUUCUGCAAUAAUUAGCCUUCUACUGCAAUUUUGGGUUGUGUAUGUGUACCCAGAGAUUAUGUAAUACCAACAGAAAAUUGUUUGUUAUGUGAAUUGAUGCCUUAAACUGAAAUAUGAUGACAAGAACAGUCUAUAUGUUUCUGAAACACAUACUAUAUGUGGAGAGUAUUACAUAACUUGCAAGUUUCAGUUUUUGUUUUGUUUUUCUGUUUGAAGCUUAAUUUUCUGUAACCUAUUUAUUUAUUUUCCAGCCAGUUCUUUUUAACUUAUUUAUUGUUUUUAUUAUAUAUUUAUCUCUUGAAAAUGGCAGCUUCUUUGUAUACAAGAGGCAGGUAUCUACGGUUUAUGUGAAGUGCAACCAUGACCUCAUCUCUGUAAAGUCUUUAACUACAACCUACAUUAAAUUCAGUAUUAUCAGCUUGUUGUUUUGUUUUGUUUUAACUUACGCUGAAAAAGAGUUGUUUGUAUUUUGUAAGUACAAAAUUUAAACUUUAAUCCAACUUCUUCUCCCUCUGAUUUGCUUGUGAGAUCAAACAACAGGGUUGAGUUAAAAUUUUA
ensembl:lncRNA